CAUAGAGGGUGAGAAUCCCGUCUUUGACACGGACUGCCAGUGCUAUGUGAUGCGCUCUCGACGAGUCGAGUUGUUUGUGAAUGCAGCUCAAAAUGGGUGGUAAAUUCCAUCUAAAGCUAAAUACUGGCGAGAGACCGAUAGCGAACAAGUACCGUGAGGGAAAGAUGAAAAGAACUUUGGAAAGAGAGUUAAACAGUACGUGAAAUUGCUGAAAGGGAAACGCUUGAUGUCAGUCGCGUUCGCCAGGGAUCAACCUUGCGUUUAUUGCUCGGUGCAUUUCUUGGUUGGACGGGUCAGCAUCAGUUUCGAUCGAGGUAUAAUGGCG
rnacentral:rRNA from 1 species